CAAGAGCUCAGCCUGUUGGGUUGGUUUCGUUUGCUUGUCUGUUUUUGUUGUUAUUUGGUUGGUUUGUGUUUUUGUUUUGUUUUGUCUUGCUUUGAGAUUUGAGCUGCCCUCAUGUGAGAACAAGGAUUUCCUACCCAGGCGGAGAUUUUCCUACCCAGAACAGUGAGGAGGUUAGUGUGUGAUCCAUACAGGAGCAGAAGGCCACAGCAGGUUUAGCACAGAUCCCAGACUUGCCUGUUAUCACUUCUUCACAUUUUCUUCUUACCCCUCUGGAGGUCAUGAAAGGAGGACAGUGCUAUUUGCAUGCCCUGAGCAAUCAGAUUCUGCUACAUGUGAGUUUUCUGAAGAAUGUUAUCUUGCUGUUUUUAGCUUCUCUUCACUUCCUCCAUUGAACAGAGCUUUGAGGAUGCUCUACCUCAUCUCAGUCUCCCAGUCUUGCCUAAAGAGAGGGAUUUAACUGGCUAUGUAACACCUCAGGCUAUCGUACUGGAGAGGCUUCAUCAAGAACCUCUUUGUACCAUGCACAGUAUUCAUCCAACUUGGCCUCUCUCAGUGGAGAUCAUCCAAGACAGCCUCGCCUGUUUCAAAAGUGACUCAACUUCCCAACCAACUUCUUCUCUGGCUUUGCUUCCAAAGUCUUCAGGAUGCUUUGAAGUGCAGACAAAUAUGCAACUGGACAGAGUCUGACCUAAUGUCCUUCCUUCUUCAAAAGGGUAGGCUGAUAGAAACAGUUUUCCUAAGGCUAUAGUUCAGCAUAGUGCAAGUUCCAGCCUCAUAAUGACACCAACAUUUUAGGUCUGUCUUGCCAGUGCUCCUUUAAAUUAUGCAUACUCUUGCUUACAGACUCACUGCCGCUCUUCAAAUAUUCAAGGGUUCCUUACAUUUAAUUUCGGGUGGUUUACUCUCUUCAGGGAGGAGGCAGUGUUUUAAAAAGAAAUUGCUGAUGGGAAAAAUACUGCUUACAUGACUUGCAGCAAGCAGCAAUUUGAGUUCUUAAGAACACGCGUGACUUGGACAUGUAAACUUUACUCAUUUUCACUUCAAGGGCACAUGUGACAUACAACACUGCUUUCUCAUCCAGUAACAUUAUCUAAGCUUAAUGGUUAAUGUCAAGUUUUUAUUAACGUUUAUAACUGCAUUGGGAGAUUAAUUUGUUUACUUGUAUUAUGCAAAACUGAUUUAAGAUUGUGGUUUGCAUUUACACACAUUUACAUAGUGUUUCCUGAUUAAUGCAUCAUAAUACACUCAAAUCAAGUGUAAAUUGCAGGCUCACAUCUGCAACAUAAACUUCAUCCUGUGCAAUGUCAUAUUUGACUUGUCUGGCAAAAGUUUUCCAUCAGUUUGCAGCUGGAAUCAUGAUAUGGUGCAGAAGGAGGGAAGCAGAGGGAUCAGAGAUGGCUUUUCUGUGGAGAAGUCUUUCCUUAGCACCUGUUACUUGCUGAUACCUUACAGGCCUGAAACAGAAGAGGAGGAUGCCAAGGAUAGCUGGCAACAGGAUGAAUUUCAUGUAAUGUUGUGGCCCUGGGGCCAUGCUGCUGUGAGCAAGCAAAUUAGGUGACUUGGGGCUUGGGAUGACAUGGGUGAGCAGUGACAGUAGUGAGUGGGAGGGAAAGGCGUGAGGAACAUUGCUGCCCAUCAUGGCCUUGUUAGCUUGGUCUUGGCCCUCCCAGAAGGACUCUGUUCCUCAGAAUACCUCUGGUUGGAAGCACAAGACUGGCCUGUUGGCAAGGGGGGGGCAGUAGAGGGUUCAGAGAAAAGAACAGCAGUGACCACCAUGCGCCUGUUGGGGGGCCGAGACGGGGACCAAGAAAGGCAGCACCCUUGCACUGAACAUAGUAGCAAGGGGACACUGUGGAUACUUCCCCAGUGUAGCGUCUUCCUAAGGGAAAGCAUGGUCGAACUCAGGCUUGCCUCAUCUCUCCGAGGCCCUAAUCCUAUUAUCCUUCCUCCACCAGUCACCACCUCAUCCUUCUCUUCCCUACACCCUCACCCCCCUCCGGUUCUUCUUUCUGUAAAUAACUCUUUCUGACUUUGGACAAGCAGGGAUCAACAGAUUCUGGAGGGGGGCAGAGAAGACACUUGUUUUGUUCUGUUUUCCUUUCUCUCUUGAAUUUUGGUGUUUGAACUUGAAAAAAAAAAUAAUAUAUAUAAAUAUAUAAAUAUAUAUAUUUAAGGAAAUGGAUUUCCUGGAAAACUAUGAAAGGAG
ensembl:lncRNA